CAACUAACAAAAAUAAUUAAUUUGGCACUCUCUCUUGUCAUCCCCUCCCAAUUCUUCUGUAAUCUCAGGAAGAAGGUACAACUUCUCACCACAUGGUAUACCAGUAAAAAGAAAAAGAAAACAAGGAAACAGCAGAUAACAACCUAUGAAAUGGAUACCUCCAUAUAAACAAAAUGCAGAAUUAAAUAAUUCCAGGUAUCAGAGUGGCAGUCAUUAAAUGAAAUCAUGCUGUUCAAGAAAUUAAUAAUUAAGUACUUCUGGGUUUAAAUUAUUAAAAUAAAGCAAAUAAUGGAGUCGCAAAAAAUGAAUCUUGGUAUCUGAAAGAACAAAACGACAAUGUGGUCACACCUCUCAGAAUGGCUAUCAUCAAAAAAUCAACAAAUGACAAGUGCUGGUGAGGAUGCGGAGAAAAAA